rnacentral:rRNA from 1 species
UAGGGAAUAUUAGAAAUGGACGAAAGUCUGAUCUAGCAACACCGCGUGUGCGAAGAAGGCCUUCGGGUUGUAAAGCACUUUUUGGAAGGAUUAGGAAGGAAUGUACUUCCAGAAUAAGUCUCGGCUAACUACGUGCCAGCAGCCGCGGUAACACGUAGGAGGCAAACGUUAUCCGGAUUUACUGGGCGUAAAGCGCGUGUAGGUGGUUCUGUAAGUAGGGCGUGAAAGCUCCUGGCUCAACUGGGAGAGGCCGUUCUAAACUGCAGAGCUAGAGGAUGGUAGAGGGAGGUGGAAUUCCGGGUGUAGCGGUGGAAUGCGCAGAUAUCCGGAGGAACACCAGUGGCGAAAGCGAUCUACUGGACCUUAACUGACACUGAGACGCGAAAGCCAGGGUAGCAAACG